AACGAACGUUAGCGGCGCGCCUAACACAUGCAAGUCGAGCGAGAAAGGGCUUCGGCCCCGGUAAAGCGGCGCACGGGUGCGUAACGCGUGGGAAUCUGCCCUUGGGUUCGGAAUAACAGUUAGAAAUGACUGCUAAUACCGAAUGAUGUCUUCGGACCAAAGAUUUAUCGCCCAAGGAUGAGCCCGCGUCGGAUUAGCUGGUUGGUGAGGUAAAGGCUCACCAAGGCGACGAUCCGUAGCUGGUCUGAGAGGAUGAUCAGCCACACUGGGACUGAGACACGGCCCAGACUCCUACGGGAGGCAGCAGUGGGGAAUAUUGGACAAUGGCGAAAGCCUGAUCCAGCAAUGCCGCGUGAGUGAUGAAGGCCUUAGGGUUGUAAAGCUCUUUUACCCGGGAUGAUAAUGACAGUACCGGGAGAAUAAGCCCCCGGCUAACUCCGUGCCAGCAGCCGCGGUAAU
rnacentral:rRNA from 1 species